GAUGAACGCUGGCGGCGUGCCUAACACAUGCAAGUCGAGCGAUCUUCUUCGGAAGAGAGCGGCGGACGGGUGAGUAACGCGUGGGUAACCUGCCCUGUACACACGGAUAACAUACCGAAAGGUAUGCUAAUACGGGAUAACAUACUUUUAUCGCAUGGUAGAAGUAUCAAAGCUCCGGCGGUACAGGAUGGACCCGCGUCUGAUUAGCUAGUUGGUAAGGUAACGGCUUACCAAGGCGACGAUCAGUAGCCGACCUGAGAGGGUGAUCGGCCACAUUGGAACUGAGACACGGUCCAAACUCCUACGGGAGGCAGCAGUGGGGAAUAUUGCACAAUGGGCGAAAGCCUGAUGCAGCAACGCCGCGUGAGCGAUGAAGGCCUUCGGGUCGUAAAGCUCUGUCCUCAAGGAAGAUAAUGACGGUACUUGAGGAGGAAGCCCCGGCGUAACUACGU
rnacentral:rRNA from 1 species